UGGUGAACUGAUCUUUAUGUGUGAAGUUGGUGGACUGUCCCUUUAACUCAUUCUAAAACAAGCUGAUUCGUGGGAUUAAUCAAGUGUAUCAUUUCAAAGUCUACCUUAUCCAGUUAGUGUAUGUAGGACUCGGGAACUGCAGCUGCGACCCUGUCCCGAGCAGUGACCCUCCGUAAUGGGUUUAAAGGCAGCUCUGCGGCUGGUGCUGACCUCUGUCUGCCGCAGGGAGAACGGCUCACUCCUGACUACUGACGUGAGUAUGGCGGCUUGACGGCAUUCCCAAACCCUGCCCGGACCAGCCUCAUGGACAUUGUGGCAGACACACACAGGACUCGUUAUCAUCCUCACUUUGUCUCUAAUUCGUCCUCGCAUUAACGUCAGCGCUGCUCAGUUCCGGACAAUGUCUUUAACCGACGUGACUUUAGAUUUUAGCUUUAAGUUUCAGUCUAACCAAAGUUGCUUAGCCUAGCCGCUAUCUGUUACUUUAGUUAGCCGAGCCUUUGUAGCAACACAAGCUAGCUGAUGUCUUGUGCUGUCAUUAGCUUUAUCGGCUGUCAGCGUCAUCACCGCGACAACGAGAGUCCUUCGCAACCGGCCGUCUGAUGGAAGGUGAGGGGGAACGAUGCUGAGAUUCCUCCAUAUCCUUUUAACAGGCCUCUCGGGUGUUCUGUGGGAUGGAGUUGCUGCUUUUGGUGGAGUCAGACUAGUGAAUGGGGAGAAUAAGUGCUCUGGCAGAGUUGAGGUGCUUCGCCACGACCAGUGGGGAACUGUUUGCGACCAUGGCUGGGACCUACGGGAGGCUGACGUGGUGUGCCUGGAGCUGGGCUGCGGCUUAGCCGAAACUGCCCUUCAUGGUUCAGUAUUCGGUGCAGGCAAAGGAGAGAUCUUGUUGCGCCAUGUCCAGUGUUCCGGACACGAGUCCAGUUUGACACGCUGUGCUGUUGUCCUUCACAGUGACUCCCACUGCACCCAUUUGAAUGAUGCAGGGGUGAAAUGCUCAGGUACCCUUUUAACACCCACCCUCACCCUGCUGUCGCCUCACACUGUGUUCACUUCUGGCGAGGCUGUUCGCUUUAGCUGCAGCGUCCCGCUGGGUCACCACCUCAGUGACUUUCACCUGUACAAGCAUGGAGUGUCCACGCCGCUGGUUACACAGAGGGCGGACCAGACCCAGACCAGAGUGGACCUGACGCUGACUGACAUUGAGGCUUCCCACCAGGGCAGCUAUAGUUGUCGGUACAGGAUCAAGGGCGGGUUCCCUGCUGAGCUGCUCAGCUCUCCACCCAGCAACUCCAUCAACAUUACCGUUGUGGAGCUCCUGACUCCCCAGCAUUGGUACAACACGUCCACUGAGGCCCCGGCUGGUUCCGUCCUAAAAGGCCACAGUUUCAACAUCACCUGCUCCACCCCGCAGCAGUACCCUGGGGGCUCCUUCCAGCUGCGUCUGAUCCGCUCCAACGGCACAGUGCGCCAGUCCCUGCCCGCCCUCGCCCCGUCUGUCACUUUCACCUUCCCCAACGCCCAGAGCUCCAACGAGGGCUACUACUACUGCCUGUAUCGGGUCCAGCUGGGUGGACGCACCUUUGUCUCCAGAGAAAGCCAGCCCCUGCCUAUAGCCAUCAGAGACCCGGAUCCAUUACUGAGUCCAGUGGUGAUCAGUUGGCUCGUGUCUGGCCUGACAUUUGUCAUAGCUGUCAUCGUCAUAAUUAUUGUAGCCAAGGUGCUGUGUAACAAGGAGAAGAAGCCUACUGAACUGGAGCGAGAGACCAGAACCUGUGUGGACAACACUUACGUUGCCUUAUCAAUUAACAAGCUAUGACUGGGUCCGAUGGAAAUGGAUAACUAAAGGUAAUGAAGACUCGGUAUGAAGCCUUUCAUUUGGCUCUUAUUUCCCCACCCCCUCCUACAUUGUUUUCAUAAUCCUCUUCAAUACAUAGAUCAACAACCUCCAAUCUAGUAAGGCAAGUUAAAAUAACCUGUUUGCAAACUGAACAAGUAAACGAGCUAGCAGUUAUUUUGUCUUUAGUGUGGAUUGAGCCAUCACUUCCCCACAUGCAAACCAAGUAUCCCUGACACUAUUUUGCAUUGGCACCAUCGCCGUAUCCUGACUGAAAUGCCACUCGAAAUUUGAUUUGUUUAUAGGCAUGCAAACAAGCCAGCCAGUCUUUUCCCCCUUAUACCAAAACUAGGAUCAGAGCAGCCAGACCUUUCUCUAGUGCUGACACAGUGCUGUGGAGAUGGAAAGGUCUGGCUCUGCAACUAUUGAAACCUCCUUGACUACAUGCAGCUGAUGUCACCUUAACUAAUCUGUCCUAUUGCAAGGGGUGAAUAUGUACCCAAACAGAGGGCUCUCGCUGUCAUAUUCAUGGGAUCACUCUGCAGAGGACGUAACACAGACCAAAUGGCUCGGUCGGAUAAAGCUCCGUCUGGACCCAGUCCAGUCCAGUCUGGAUAAAGCAGUUUUACAGUUUGGCUUUUAAGCCUUGUAUUAUGGUGAGAUGUAAGAUAACGGCCACGGAAGACUGACAGACAUUGAAAAGCUUCCAGUUCAAACCACUGGUUCAAGCUAGACUUAAGAUCUAUUGGCUCCCGCCAUGAGUCCACGUGUGGAGCGAAAACGAAACUACCUGGGUAAACUGUGACAUGAGUUCUUCAGGUCUCUGUGUACAUACAUGCAGUUCAAACAUAUUGUUUUGUAUUUAUUACCACAGGCUCCUCUAGCUUGCUUCAACAGAUCAAUGAUCCUUGAAGGAUUAGAUGUUUGUUUUUGUAUUUUAAGUCUAACACUACUAUGCAUCUCAUGGCAUUAACAAUAUUUACAUGUUUGCACUUAAAUAUGUGUGAAUAUAAGCUGUAGUUGAUUAAAAUGCUGCUGUUGUUGGA